rnacentral:rRNA from 1 species
UACGGAGGGGGCUAGCGUUGUUCGGAAUUACUGGGCGUAAAGCGCACGUAGGCGGCUUUGUAAGUUAGAGGUGAAAGCCCGGGGCUCAACUCCGGAAUUGCCUUUAAGACUGCAUCGCUAGAAUUGUGGAGAGGUAAGUGGAAUUCCGAGUGUAGAGGUGAAAUUCGUAGAUAUUCGGAAGAACACCAGUGGCGAAGGCGGCUCACUGGCUCGGUACUGACGCUGAGGUGCGAAAGCGUGGGGAGCAAACAGG